CGCGUAGGCGGAUUAUACAGUCAGGCGUGAAAUUCCUGGGCUCAACCUGGGGGCUGCGCUUGAGACGUGUGAUCUUGAGUGGGGAAGAGGGUCGUGGAAUUCCCAGUGUAGAGGUGAAAUUCGUAGAUAUUGGGAAGAACACCGGUGGCGAAGGCGGCGACCUGGUCCUUUUACUGACGCUGAGGCGCGAAAGCGUGGGGAGCAAACAGGAUUAGAUACCCUGGUAGUCCACGCUGUAAACGAUGUGCGCUGGAUGUUGGGGAGCCUAGCUCUUCAGUGUCGUAGCUAACGCGAUAAGCGCACCGCCUGGGGAGUACGGCCGCAAGGUUGAA
rnacentral:rRNA from 1 species